CUCUCUCUCUCUCUCUCUCUCUCUCUCUCUCUCGGCCCCUGUCCCCGCCUUCCAGGCUCUAGAAUCUUCAUCUCUCUCUCUCUCUCUCUCUCUCUCUCUCUCUCUGUCUGUCUUCCAUCCUCCGGCACGAACCGAAGACCGCAGUUGUUGUACUGCCUGUCCAUCCUACACGAUCAGUGCACCAGGUCUGGCCAGAUCUGGUCUUUUUACUCACUGCAAACAGAUUGAGCGGCAUCUUAAUAUAGGGAGCUGGUCCCUAAGCUCAAAGUUCAAUGCAACAAUACAUAGUGCUGGAGGGAAUGAUGGUGUUAAGGUUGUCAAUGAUAAGGAUGGAUCUUGUUCUAUUUCUACUGCCAAUGGAAAUGUUAACUCCCCACCACCAGAUUGGUUGGAUCCGUCAUUACAGCUGAAUGUUCCUCUAGUUGACGUGGACAAGCGACAUUGAGGAAAGUGAACUCUCUGAUGCAAGCUCAACAAAUUUGAAAGAAGAUGGAUCUUCACCAUCCCUAACUCUGAUCAGAAAGUAGUCGAUCACAAUGCAUCAUUAACAUGAGAGAUGCUUCGGAGUAGACUUCCUUUUUCUCUAUCUAGGGUCCAUGUACACUGGAGUAGACUUCUACAAGAAGUUGUGUGGAGUGUCCAUUAUUCAAAGGUGAGCU